UAUUGAAAUAAGAUUUUAAUUGAAUGCUAAGAGAAUGGAAGUCCAGAAAAAAACUUUUUUUAAAUUAAAAAUUGAAGUUUUUUUAAUUUGUGCAGAAACAAUUAUCUAUAUUAAGGACAAGAAGACCCUAUGAAUUUAUUAAAUUUUUAUUUAAUAUGUAAUUACUAUUAAAAAAAUUUUGGCUGGGGCGGCUAAAAAAUAUUAUAAACUUUUUAAAAAUAAAAUGAUCCACUAUUAAUGAUUUUAUGUUAAAUACUCUAGGGAUAACAGCGUUAUAUUUUUUGUUAUAUUUUUUGUUAUAUUUUUUG
rnacentral:rRNA from 1 species